rnacentral:rRNA from 1 species
CAGCCGCCGCGGUAAUACAGAGGGUGCGAGCGUUAAUCGGAUUUACUGGGCGUAAAGCGUGCGUAGGCGGCUUUUUAAGUCGGAUGUGAAAUCCCUGAGCUUAACUUAGGAAUUGCAUUCGAUACUGGGAAGCUAGAGUAUGGGAGAGGAUGGUAGAAUUCCAGGUGUAGCGGUGAAAUGCGUAGAGAUCUGGAGGAAUACCGAUGGCGAAGGCAGCCAUCUGGCCUAAUACUGACGCUGAGGUACGAAAGCAUGGGGAGCAAACAGGAUUAGAUACCCGGGUAGUCCCUGUCUCUUAUAU